rnacentral:piRNA from 1 species
UCCUGUGAUACAAUUUCCAUGGGC